rnacentral:rRNA from 1 species
NCACACCUGAAAUCAAGCAAGAUCACCCGCUGAACUUAAGCAUAUCAGUAAGCGGAGGAAAAGAAACUAACAAGGAUUGCCUUAGUAGUGGCGAAUGAACCGGCAAUAGCUCAAAGUGUAAAUCUGAGGCAUCAAGUCUUAGAAUUGUAAUCUAUAGGCCUUUUAGGGAAGCCAUGGUCUUAGCAUAAGUUCCCUGAAAAGGGAUGCCAAAGAGGGUAAAAGCCCCGUAUUUGGUUAGGACUGGGUGUACCGAAGGGUUCCAAGAGUCGGGUUGUUUGGGAUUGCAGCCUAAAAUGGGAGAUAAACUUCUUCUAAAGCUAAAUAUUUAUGGGAAACCGAUAGCAAACAAGUACUACGAAGGAAAGA